UGUAUAUUAAUUAUUUAUUUUCAUUUUACUUAAAAUAUAUGUUUUUGUUAAGUUAACAUAUGUUUUUCUAAUCAAGUCUACGUAAUUGUGUCUAUUAUUCACUGUACAUAAUACUAAUGUGUUACUUGAUGGUAUAACAUUUAAGUUAAGUCAAUUAGGAUCGAUAUACUUUGUAUAUCCACUAGGUGGCAGUAAUGCAAAAACAGUUGUAAUGAAACCGCGAAGAACAACAAGGUUUCACGGCUUGGGCCUGCUCAUGCGCAAGACUUCAAAUUUAACUUAAAAACGUUGUUUUGGCGCCAAACUGCUGUUUCUUUGAGAGAUCCUGCCUUUACCUGCUCCCUCCUAUACUGAUGUGGUGUAUGUGGUACUGCUGAGCUUGUAUGUGAUCUGAACUAUUGUAAAGGUUGCAGUUCAAGGGCCUGAGGUGGAAGCAGAAUUUGUGAGGAUUACUACUGCUCCACUUGUUCCAAGGCUUUUUGCACAACUUGACCAAUACACCAAUGACCAGCUCAUAAAAGUCUUCAAGAAAAAGGAGGCGCUGCAGGGAAGAAAAUUAGACAAACUUUGGCUCCAGCCACAAAGGAAACUAUUGAAAAGGGGAGGGAGUGUGUCCUCAGGGCACUACCUUUUUACCUGAAUGAAGACCCAAGCAUCCUCUUCAAAGAAUAAUUGCUACAGCUACAGCUGUUCAGAGGGAGCUGGAACAAAUUACCCUUGCUAUCUUCACCAUCGAAAAAGCUGAUGUCAGCACUCCUCCAGCCGAUGUGGGUACAACCAUCUAGGGUGUUCUGCAUGACCUGGAAAACAUGGCCUCUGCAUGUGCACUCUUAAUGGGUGGGAUAUAUGCACUGAAUCGCAGUUAACCUCGAGACUGAAAGCUUUCUUUGAAGUACUUCAGAAGCUCUUCCUUCAUCUGUAUGUCAGCAGACUCUUGACCAAGGUACAGAUACUCAAGAAUAAACUGAAUGAAUAAGCCAAUCCUUAAUUUGGAUGAUGAAUGUUCUGUCAGAUGGACAGAAGUUUUUCAGAGGCUGAAUGGGAAUAAAAUGGUAAUUUGUUGAAAAUGAC